rnacentral:rRNA from 1 species
GACGAACGCUGGCGGCGUGCUUAACACAUGCAAGUCGAACGGAAAGGCCCUGCUUUUGUAGGGUGCUCGAGUGGCGAACGGGUGAGUAACACGUGAGUAACCUGCCCUUGACUUUGGGAUAACUUCAGGAAACUGGGGCUAAUACCGGAUAGGAGCUCCUGCUGCAUGGUGGGGGUUGGAAAGUUUCGGCGGUUGGGGAUGGACUCGCGGCUUAUCAGCUUGGUGGUGGGGUUGGGGCUUACCAAGGCUUGGACGGGUAGCCGGCCUGAGAGGGUGACCGGCCACAUUGGGACUGAGAUACGGCCCAGACUCCUACGGGAGGCAGCAGUGGGGAAUAUUGCACAGUGGGCGGACGCCUGAUGCAGCAACGCCGCGUGCGGGAUGACGGCCUUCGGGUUGUAAACCGCUUUCGCCUGUGACGAAGCGUGAGUGACGGUAAUGGGUAAAGAAGCACCGGCUAACUACGUG